GUAAGUAUAGUUUAAGAAAAACAUUAGUUUGUGAAACUAACAAUAGAAGACCUAAAACUUCUUACUUACC
rnacentral:tRNA from 1 species